GUGGGGAAUAUUGCACAAUGGGCGCAAGCCUGAUGCAGCGACGCCGCGUGAGGGAUGACGGCCUUCGGGUUGUAAACCUCUGUUAGCAGGGAAGAAGAGAGAUUGACGGUACCUGCAGAGAAAGCGCCGGCUAACUACGUGCCAGCAGCCGCGGUAAUACGUAGGGCGCGAGCGUUGUCCGGAAUUAUUGGGCGUAAAGAGCUUGUAGGCGGUUUGUCGCGUCUGCUGUGAAAGGCCGGAGCUUAACUCCGUGUAUUGCAGUGGGUACGGGCAGACUAGAGUGCAGUAGGGGAGACUGGAAUUCCUGGUGUAGCGGUGGAAUGCGCAGAUAUCAGGAGGAACACCGAUGGCGAAGGCAGGUCUCUGGGCUGUAACUGACGCUGAGAAGCGAAAGCAUGGGGAGCGAACAGGAUUAGAUACCCUGGUAGUCCAUGCCGUAAACGUUGGGCACUAGGUGUGGGGGACAUUCCACGUUUUCCGCGCCGUAGCUAACGCAUUAAGUGCCCCGCCUGGGGAGUACGGCCGCAAGGCUA
rnacentral:rRNA from 1 species